rnacentral:rRNA from 1 species
CGAAAGCCUGACGCAGCGACGCCGCGUGGGGGAGUGAAGGUCUUCGGAUUGUAAACCCCUUUCGGGAGGGAAGAUGGGAUGGGGUAACCCAUUCGGACGGUACCUCCAGAAGCAGCCACGGCUAACUUCGUGCCAGCAGCCGCGGUAAUACGAAGGUGGCAAGCGUUGUUCGGAUUUACUGGGCGUACAGGGAGCGUAGGCGGUUGGGUAAGCCCUCCGUGAAAUCUCCAGGCUUAACCUGGAAAGUGCAGAGGGGACUGCUCAGCUAGAGGAUGGGAGAGGAGCGCGGAAUUCCCGGUGUAGCGGUGAAAUGCGUAGAGAUCGGGAGGAAGGCCGGUGGCGAAGGCGGCGCUCUGGAACAUUUCUGACGCUGAGGCUCGAAAGCGUGGGGAGCAAACAGGAUUAGAUACCCUGGUAGUCCACGCCUUAAACGAUGGAUACUAAGUGUCGGCGGGUUACCGCCGGUGCCGCAGCUAACGCAGUAAGUAUCCCGCCUGGGAAGUACGGCCGCAAGGUUG